rnacentral:rRNA from 1 species
UGGGGAAUUUUGGACAAUGGGCGCAAGCCUGAUCCAGCAAUGCCGCGUGAGUGAUGAAGGCCUUAGGGUUGUAAAGCUCUUUUACCCGGGACGAUAAUGACGGUACCGGGAGAAUAAGCCCCGGCUAACUCCGUGCCAGCAGCCGCGGUAAUACGGAGGGGGCUAGCGUUGUUCGGAAUUACUGGGCGUAAAGCGCACGUAGGCGGCUUGGUAAGUUAGAGGUGAAAGCCCGGGGCUCAACCCCGGAAUUGCCUUUAAGACUGCCGGGCUAGCAGGUGAGAGAGGUGAGUGGAAUUCCGAGUGUAGAGGUGAAAUUCGUAGAUAUUCGGAAGAACACCAGUGGCGAAGGCGGCUCACUGGCUCAUACUGGACGCUGAGGUGCGAAAGCGUGGGGAGCAAAC